AACGAACGCUGGCGGCAUGCCUAACACAUGCAAGUCGAACGAGACCUUCGGGUCUAGUGGCGCACGGGUGCGUAACGCGUGGGAACCUGCCCUUAGGUUCGGAAUAACUCCCCGAAAGGGGUGCUAAUACCGGAUAAUGUCUUCGGACCAAAGAUUUAUCGCCGUUGGAUGGGCCCGCGUUGGAUUAGCGAGUUGGUAGGGUAAAAGCCUACCAAGGCGACGAUCCAUAGCUGGUCUGAGAGGAUGAUCAGCCACACUGGGACGUAGACACGGCCCAGACUCCUACGGGAGGCAGCAGUAGGGAAUAUUGGACAAUGGGCGAAAGCCUGAUACAGCAAUGCCGCGUGAGUGAUGAAGGCCUUAGGGUUGUAAAGCUCUUUUACCCGGGAUGAUAAUGACAGUACCGGGAGAAUAAGCUCCGGCUAACUCCGUG
rnacentral:rRNA from 1 species